CGUUUGGGGAGAAGAGAGGGAGAGAGUGUGGUUGUAAUAAAAGAAAAGGAACGAACGGUGGUGAUAGGACUGAGUCUACAUCUCAAUCGUCUCCUUCUUCCUUUCUUCUCCAGCGUCCGAUUCCUCUCCAUUCUCACCGAUCUCGCGCCAAAUACAAAUUCCUCACUCACACAGAUUAGGGUUCCGGCGACCAUGGCCGACGGUCCGGCGAGCCCAGGCGGCGGAAGCCACGAGAGCGGCGACCACAGUCCUCGCUCCAACGUGCGAGAGCAGGACAGGUAUCUUCCCAUCGCUAACAUAAGCCGCAUCAUGAAGAAGGCGCUUCCUGCCAACGGGAAAAUUGCGAAGGACGCCAAAGAGACUGUUCAGGAAUGCGUCUCUGAGUUCAUCAGCUUCAUCACCAGCGAGGCCUCUGAUAAGUGUCAGAGAGAAAAGAGGAAGACCAUUAACGGUGAUGAUUUGCUCUGGGCUAUGGCCACUCUCGGCUUCGAGGAUUAUAUUGAUCCCCUUAAGAUUUACCUCACGAGAUACAGAGAGAUGGAGGGCGACACCAAGGGCUCAGCCAAGGGUGGAGAUGCAUCUACUAAGAAAGAUGUUCAACCAAGCCCUAAUGCUCAGCUUGCUCAUCAAGGUUCUUUCUCACAAAGUGUCAGUUACACGAAUUCUCAGGGUCAACAUAUGAUGGUUCCAAUGCAAGGCCCAGAGUAGGUAUCUAAGUCUAUUGACCCGGCUGUUGUUGUAACGGAUGGUUUCAAAGCCGAUGGAGCUUUAGCAGGUGCUCACGGCAUACUGAAUGUAUCUCAUAUUAUGUGAAUACUGACAUAGGAGGCCGCUGGCAAAGACUGAAGAUUUAGGACUGAUUGUAAGCAUAAUCCUGAAUGGUAUAUUCUUUUCCUUGUUUCUUUUGACAAUAAUGCAUGAAGAAGCCUUUUUUACCUGUUCCACUGUUCGUUAGACAUUUAGAUGUGAUAUUAAUAAUAGCCUCCCCCCCUCCAGUGUGAUGAAGCUUGUUAAAAUUUACUUAAACUAAUCGAAUAUUGUAAUAUAUUUAUAUUCGUUUUUU